rnacentral:rRNA from 1 species
UGUAAAACGAAUUUGAGUUCUACCUCAGCCCCUUCCCCAAGACAAACCAACCAAGUCCCCAUGCAAUGGGCUAAGAGCUAUUUAAAGGGGGUACAGCCCCUUUAAAAAAGGAUACAACCUCUACCAGCGGAUAACCCACCCCCCCCACCCAACCCCCGUGGGCCUUAAAGCAGCCACCCUUAAGGAACGCGUCAAAGCUCUACAGACAAAAAAUCCAAAAACAACGUAAAUCCCUGAACCCAUAACAGGUCAACCUACAACAGUAGAUGAAUCUAUGCUAGAACGAGUAACCAGGACACCAAGUCCCCUAAAGCGCCAACCUAAACACCAUUAACAGCACAACUACAAUACCAAACCCCCGACUAAACAUUGAACAUACCCUGUCAGACCAACCCAGGAGCGCACACUAGGAUGAUUAAAAUCUGCAGAAGGAACUCGGCAAACCUAAGACCCGACUGUUUACCAAAAACAUAGCCUUCAGCCGAACAAGUAUUGAAGGUGAUGCCUGCCCAGUGACACACGUUUAACGGCCGCG